AAAACUUUCAACAACGGAUCUCUUGGUUCUGGCAUCGAUGAAGAACGCAGCGAAAUGCGAUAAGUAAUGUGAAUUGCAGAAUUCAGUGAAUCAUCGAAUCUUUGAACGCACAUUGCGCCCGCCAGUAUCCUGGCGGGCAUGCCUGUCCGAGCGUCAUU
rnacentral:rRNA from 1 species